rnacentral:rRNA from 1 species
AACGAACGCUGGCGGCGUGCCUAACACAUGCAAGUCGUGCGAGAAAGUUCCUUCGGGAGCGAGUAAAGCGGCGCACGGGUGAGUAACACGUAGGUAACCUGCCCCCAGUCUGGAACAACUAGAGGAAACUCUAGCUAAUGCCGGAUGAGACCACGAUCCCUUCGGGGGUUGCGGCCAAAGAUGGCCUCUACUUGUAAGCUAUCGCUGAGGGAUGGGCCUGCGGCCAUUAGCUUGUUGGUGAGGUAACGGCUCACCAAGGCUGUGAUGGCUAGCUGGUCUGAGAGGAUGACCAGCCACACUGGGACUGAGACACGGCCCAGACUCCUACGGGAGGCAGCAGUGGGAAUAUUGCGCAAUGGGCGAAAGCCUGACGCAG